CGUGGGAUCUUCCCGCACCGGGGCACGAACCCGUGUCCCCUGCAUCGGCAGGCGGACUCUCAACCACUGCGCCACCAGGGAAGCCCAACUAGUGCUCUUCUGAAUCCACUUUCUGCCACUGUCAGCUUCCCCCAGUCAGAAAACUGCAUGGUCUCCUGUCAAAAGAACCUUGGCUACUGGCUUCUGAACCAUCUUGCUUGGCGCUGGCAUCUCUGUGACCUCCCAGGAUGGGUCUUGGCCUUACCAUCCCUUUGCCAUCCUGGGCCACCACUCCCAACUUUAACCACAGACUCAGACAGUUGCCUGAUCUCUAGAUUCUGGUGACAGCCUGCCUACUUGCUCUUCUUGCCCUCACCAAACUCACUGACCAAGCACAUCGCACAAGAAGAGGGGCUUCCCUGGUGGCUCAGUGGUUAAGAAUCCGCCUGCCAAUACAGG